CACGAUUUGUCUUCGCGGGCCACAUAAAAUGAUGUGGCGGGCCGUAUCUGGCCCCCGGGCCUUGAUUUGACACGUGCUCUAAGUGCUAAACAAGUGAAGCCCAUUUGCUGUUCUAUGAAAGUAUAGCCUAGCCUAGCACGGCCUCGCCUCGUGCUUCAUUUUCUUCAUCUUCAUCUGCUUCUUGUGCUGCUUCUUAGCUCACUCCUGUUCAAAAUUGGUCACGGGCGUCACUUGUGCCAACAGCAGCUCAUGUACACUUGGUGGUCUUGGCUUCAGCCACCCGGCGCAUUGUUGCCAGUAUUUGCAUAUAUUGUAAGUCUGCGUGUGUGUGUCUGUGUGUGUGCGUGCAUGCGUGUGUGUCUAUGUGUGUGUGUGUGUGUGUGUGAGAGCCCACCGACGCAGAAAGCCCAGAUGGGAUGAGGGAUCAUAUUCUCGAUUAAAAACGACACGAGCCGCAGAGAAAUUCUCUUUGCGUGUAUGCGUGUGCGCAAAGUGCCACAUGUUGGUUUUGUCGCAGUGCACGCACACACAUACACACACGCACACGCCCAGUUAGGUAAAGCUCAGCUCUCAUUUCCUGAACAAGUUGAUAAAUUCCAGAUCUCCUCAGCUGGUCCGCCUGCACAUAUGCACGCACGCACAAUCUGCUGCUGUUGCCGCUUCUUGUGGGCCAGAGAGAGAAACGUGUGCACAUUGGUCGCAAUUAACCUUUAAUGAAGAAGGCAGGCAAGGGGCGGAGCCAUAGACGAACAAUCCUCCGUGUGUCUCGGCCAUUGGAGGGCUCGUUGGAGGCCAAUAUGUCAUUCUUUCUUAUUGAAUCAUUAUUAUUAUUAUUACUGUCCAUCUGUCGGUCCGUCGGUCCAUCCAUCCAUCCAUCCAUCCAUCCAUCCAUCCAUCCAUCCAUCCAUCCAUCCAUCCAUCCAUCCAUCCAUCCAUCCAUCCAUCCAUCCAUCUCAGGGAAGCCACCAAAUCAGCAACUUGUUGUCAUCUUUGCAUUUUCCUGGACAGCUUUUGGUGACAUUUUGCGUUCUUAGUCUCCAGCCCCGCCUCGCGCACCCCGCGGCCACUAAACGGGCUUUAUUGUAGCGUGACUUUUCUUUUGAUUACAGGAAGGUCUCACUUUACUCGUCACUCGGUAGCGUGGCGGAUCGCGUUACCCACCGGGAGUGCAUCUGAGUGCAAAUGCGUGCUCAGAGACAAGCUUGCCUAUUACCCACUAGAAGACGUUUGGACUUGAAACCGAGGCCUUGUCUGCAGUUUUCACUUUACAUUCGCUUGAUUCAUUUAGGCUUCAUUUGUAAAUACUCUGAAAAGUUUGUUUACUCACUCUGCACCACUGCCAAAUGGUGUUCCACAGGGUUCAGUUAAGGGGGCCCUGCUGUUUUCGUUGUUUUUGCUAAACCUGGAUUCCAUCUUAAGGAACCUUGGUAUUUCCUUUCACUGUCAUACAGAUGACCAAAAAAAAGACGUUUUCUCCUUAACGUUACUUUUGUUCUGUCUGCAGGAAAUCAAACACUGGAUGGCAUUAAACGCCUUAAUCCAAAUGGUAAUAUAGCAGGUCAAUAGCAAGCUAGUUGGUCAGUGGCUGCCUCUAACAGCAACUGAGUGGAUGUGUCCGCUAUCCAUUUCCUCUUCUGCCGAGCUGACCUUGUUCCUCGCCAACUUCUCCCGACGGUCUCCAAUGCUCUUCGUCCGUCUUUGCAGCUUUACGUUUCCCUCCUCCCGCAUCCUCGCCAGUUGUGCCUCUGCAGCUGGCCGCGUUUUAAAAGUUGUGGUCCCGGCCGGCGCAGGUAUGUUUGAACCAAAAUCCCCCUCCUCUUCUCUCCGGGCGACAGGCCAGCGGCCGCGUCUCACUCGACACCCUUUUUUUUUUGUUGACCACACAUGGGAGAGCGAGUGUUUUCUGUUACUCUUGGACGCCGCUUUUCCUUUUGCCCCGUCUGUCUGCGCCGCACGUCUGACGAAAACGGCGACCCCAUUUUUCCGAGGCGAAGUGCAAGUUCUGGCAAGGCCGCCGCGCACCGCCUACACGCGCACCGAGCGCCUCAGUGCAGCGGCAAAUAUUUCACUUUGUCUGUUUGCCCAAACAAACUGCUCGACAAGAAGCGACGUUUUACAUUGCGGCGGCAGGGCCAUGCGAGCUGAUUGGCCGCUGGUCACGGUGGUCCCCUGAUGAAGCCGAUCAGCAGCCCACUUUGAUGUCACCCCGCAAAGGUCGGCCCGAGUGAAGUCGAGAGCGCUCGCUGAUCGAUGAAACACGACGCCUGCUUUGAGCCAACGUCAUCGGUGGCCGGCUCGGGAGAAAUCUGACCUUUUGCCUCACGCGCCCCAGGUUCAUGAGUAUUCACGGCAUCCAAAGUGAAAGACGCCUGGAUGAGUCUGGAAGUGGCUUCAUCUCCGCUUCUUCCUCUGAGCCCCUCGUGGUGCUCGUAUCAGGUGGAACGCUCGCUGCAGGACUUCCAGCGUCGCUCGAGUCCCCCGAUGGAGCAUAGGCUUCGGCGACAUCUUGCAGCAAUCAGCCGAAUCGGCGAAAGGUCGCGGCGGAGGGCCGAGCGGCGGGAGGUUGUGAAAACAGGCGGCGGGACUAUUAAGGGAAAGGCGAGCUGCAUUCAUCAGUGCUGGCAAUAAUUCCUCCUCAAGAGUUUUGAUCAGGCUUCGUUUGUGGCCAAGAGAUGUUUACAAACACUGUCAGGGGCCCCGACAAGCCACCCUGGGGUGCUCCGUUGCACUCGCCCCACCAUCUUUGUCGGUGUCCCCACUAUUCAUUUGGAAUAUUUUUUGAUUGGUUACGUUUUUUGUUGCGACAACUAAAUAGGUUUAGGCCAAUGAAUUUGGAAAAUGAUGCCAUGUGGAGACAUUUUAAUUUUCAACAGUGUGGACAGGAGAGCCUUUUUAAAAAAGUGAUUUCAUGAUAUAUUACUAUUGUGUGCAUUGUUGUCCCCAUUAAUAUUAUUGUUAGCUGUGUUUGAUCACUAAACUUGUUUCAAAAUGUGCUCUACUACUCUAAGCUUGAAAUGAUUUCCAAGUACGACUUUCUUCUUGUCUUUGAUUGGCUAAAAUGGAUAGUUUUGUUUGUCACAAGACAACCUGCUCUUUUGUUUUUUGCUUGUGUUCGAGUUUGAAUUCCGUUGGUAAGGAAGGAUUACCAAAUUUCGUAUAAUUAAAUGAAACUUUUGGAUUUA